rnacentral:lncRNA from 1 species
CUAAUUAAAAAAAAAAGAAACUAAACCUACUGAUUUGCUCUGGCUCAACAAGGCAGAAGGCGUGGGGGUUAGCUCUAAAUGGAGGCGGCUGCUUCUCGAGAAAAGACUUUUGAUUCUUCUCAAGCAAUUUCUUACUGCUUCGAGAAGGGCUAUCACGGCUGAGAAGAGGGAAGAUCAAGUUGAAGAGAUACGUGACGCAACCACUGUCUCACUGCUUCGAGUCACACGACGUUCUCUGCCUCUCAUUCAUAGUAUCCUUUAAAAGUGGCUAUAGUUAAGUUAUUCUUUGCAUAUGUAUAUAUGUUUGCAUUCCAUGAGAAAUAAGAAAUGAAAAGAUUACCUUUGACAGGAAGACAAGUAGUUACAGAAGAAAAACAGAGACGGGGAUACUUUGUACAAGCUGUUCCUUCCAUAAAAAUUGCUCUCAGAAACUGUUCUUCUAUCUAGGAGAGUUAUACACGAGUUUUGCAUUGCACAUCCAGAAAC